CAGCAGCCACGGGAAUACGGAGGGUGCGAGCGUUAAUCGGAAUAACUGGGCGUAAAGGGCACGCAGGCGGUGACUUAAGUGAGGUGUGAAAGCCCCGGGCUUAACCUGGGAAUUGCAUUUCAUACUGGGUCGCUAGAGUACUUUAGGGAGGGGUAGAAUUCCACGUGUAGCGGUGAAAUGCGUAGAGAUGUGGAGGAAUACCGAAGGCGAAGGCAGCCCCUUGGGAAUGUACUGACGCUCAUGUGCGAAAGCGUGGGGAGCAAACAGGAUUAGAUACCCGUGUAGUCCCUGUCUCUUAUAC
rnacentral:rRNA from 1 species